rnacentral:rRNA from 1 species
UGAGAGGGUAAUCGGCCACAUUGGGACUGAGACACGGCCCAGACUCCUACGGGAGGCAGCAGUAGGGAAUCUUCCACAAUGGACGCAAGUCUGAUGGAGCAACGCCGCGUGAGUGAAGAAGGGUUUCGGCUCGUAAAGCUCUGUUGUUAAAGAAGAACGUGGGUAAGAGUAACUGUUUACCCAGUGACGGUAUUUAACCAGAAAGCCACGGCUAACUACGUGCCAGCAGCCGCGGUAAUACGUAGGUGGCAAGCGUUAUCCGGAUUUAUUGGGCGUAAAGCGAGCGCAGGCGGUCUUUUAAGUCUAAUGUGAAAGCCUUCGGCUCAACCGAAGAAGUGCAUUGGAAACUGGGAGACUUGAGUGCAGAAGAGGACAGUGGAACUCCAUGUGUAGCGGUGAAAUGCGUAGAUAUAUGGAAGAACACCAGUGGCGAAGGCGGCUGUCUGGUCUGCAACUGACGCUGAGGCUCGAAAGCAUGGGUAGCGAACAGGAUUAGAUACCCUGGUAGUCCAUGCCGUAAACGAUGAUUACUAAGUGUUGGAGGGUUUCCGCCCUUCAGUGCUGCAGCUAACGCAUUAAGUAAUCCGCCUGGGGAGUACGACCGCAAGGUUGAAACUCAAAAGAAUUGACGGGGGCCCGCACAAGCGGUGGAGCAUGUGGUUUAAUUCGAAGCUACGCGAAGAACCUUACCAGGUCUUGACAUCUUCUGACAGUCUAAGAGAUUAGAGGUUCCCUUCGGGGACAGAAUGACAGGUGGUGCAUGGUUGUCGUCAGCUCGUGUCGUGAGAUGUUGGGUUAAGUCCCGCAACGAGCGCAACCCUUAUUACUAGUUGCCAGCAUUAAGUUGGGCACUCUAGUGAGACUGCCGGUGACAAACCGGAGGAAGGUGGGGACGACGUC